CACGUAGGGGGCAAGCGUUGUCCGGAUUUAUUGGGCGUAAAGAGCUCGUAGGCGGUUCGGUAAGUCGGGUGUGAAAACUCUGGGCUCAACUCAGAGACGCCACCCGAUACUGCUGUGACUUGAGUCUGGUAGGGGAGUGUGGAAUUCCCGGUGUAGCGGUGAAAUGCGCAGAUAUCGGGAGGAACACCAGUGGCGAAGGCGGCACUCUGGGCCAGUACUGACGCUGAGGAGCGAAAGCGUGGGUAGCGAACAGG
rnacentral:misc_RNA from 1 species